rnacentral:rRNA from 1 species
CCUACGGGAUGCAGCAGUGGGGAAUAUUGGACAAUGGGCGAAAGCCUGAUCCAGCAAUGCCGCGUGUGUGAAGAAGGUCUUCGGAUUGUAAAGCACUUUCGACGGGGACGAUGAUGACGGUACCCGUAGAAGAAGCCCCGGCUAACUUCGUGCCAGCAGCCGCGGUAAUACGAAGGGGGCUAGCGUUGCUCGGAAUGACUGGGCGUAAAGGGCGCGUAGGCGGUUUAUGCAGUCAGAUGUGAAAUCCCCGGGCUUAACCUGGGAACUGCAUUUGAGACGCAUAGACUAGAGGUCGAGAGAGGGUUGUGGAAUUCCCAGUGUAGAGGUGAAAUUCGUAGAUAUUGGGAAGAACACCGGUGGCGAAGGCGGCAACCUGG